AUGUUGGGUUAAGUCCCGCAACGAGCGCAACCCUCGACCUUAGUUGCCAGCAUUCAGUUGGGCACUCUAAGGUGACUGCCGGCUAAAAGUCGGAGGAAGGUGGGGAUGACGUCAAAUCAUCAUGCCCCUUAUGACCUGGGCUACACACGUGCUACAAUGGGCGGUACAAAGGGUCGCGAACCCGCGAGGGGGAGCCAAUCCCAAAAAGCCGCCCUCAGUUCGGAUUGCAGGCUGCAACUCGCCUGCAUGAAGCCGGAAUCGCUAGUAAUCGCGGAUCAGCAUGCCGCGGUGAAUACGUUCCCGGGCCUU
rnacentral:rRNA from 1 species